rnacentral:rRNA from 1 species
AUUGAACGCUGGCGGCGUGCUUAACACAUGCAAGUCGAUCGGUAACAGGUGUAGCAAUACAUGCUGACGAGAGGCGGACGGGUGAGGAAUAUUUGGGAAUCUGCCCAUCAGCGGGGGACAACCCGGGGAAACCCGGGCUAAUACCGCAUACGCUCUACGGAGGAAAGCCGGGGACCGCAAGGCCUGGCACUGAUGGAUGAGCCCAAAUCGGAUUAGCUAGUUGGCGGGGUAACGGCCCACCAAGGCGACGAUCCGUAGCUGGUCUGAGAGGACGAUCAGCCACACCGGGAGUGAGACACGGUCCGGACUCCUACGGGAGGCAGCAGUGGGGAAUAUUGGACAAUGGGGGAAACCCUGAUCCAGCGACGCCGCGUGGGUGAAGAAGGUCUUCGGAUUGUAAAGCACUUUAAGUUGGGAGGAAGGGUUGUAAGCUAAUAUCUUGCAGCUUUGACGUUACCAACAGAAUAAGCACCGGCUAACUCUGUGCCAGCCGCCGCGGUAAAAC